AUGACAAAGAAUAUAUUGAAGAAGUUGAUAUGCAUAGCAGAUCUACGGACACAGGUUGCAGGUUUCCUGUAUGGGCUGAGUCCACAGGAUAAUCCCCAAGUCAGGGAGAUGAGAUGCAUAUCCAUUCCGCCACAACAUGGAAGUCACCAAUGGUGA
rnacentral:rRNA from 1 species